rnacentral:tRNA from 1 species
GGCCCGGCGGGCGGCUGGUUUAUGCCGUCUGUUCGCUGCUGCCGGACGAGGGCGAGGUGCAGGUCGCCGCCGCCCUGGCCC